UAUGUUAUUCAAUUAUACACAAAAUCAUAAGACACGUUUUGACUCGUCACAUUAUUUAUUUAAAAACGAAAAAAUUUAUCCAUAUCGGAAAUUGAGACGAAAGAAGCGGCCGUCAAAACCCCCCUCCGGUUUUCCAUUUCUCACUGUUCCGUUCAUCUCUCUCUCUCUCUCUCUCACACACACACACAGUAUAUACCGUCGGAAUGUUGUCUUUCCUUUCCAGCCACUCGCAUAUCGGUUAUUUAGGGUGAAGAUGAAGACGGCAAUGGUGUUAUGUGCUAAUCGGAGGGGCGCCAGUUCAUCAACCUGCCACGACGUCGGCUGCGUCGGCGCCGGAUCGGACGGUGGUCAUUUUUUGGGGCUUCCGGAGGGAUUGGCCAGCCUUCUAUCUUCUGAUGUAGCUGAAUCCUCUUAUCUCCAGCCUAUGAUAUCGCCGGAACCCCCGGCGUCGCCGCCGACGUCAGCCGCAACAAUUCCAGAUCUGAGGUGAAGGGUUAUGCAGCUUGAAGAGGCAUCGAAGGGUCCAGCUUCAACAUUAUUGCCGGCAUUAUCAAUUACCGACUGCUUCCCUUCCCCCUCCUGUGUAUGUUAAUUCCUGAUCUAUGGCUGUGACAUUCAAGUUGUUAUUAGGUAAGUAAAAUCAUCUAAGGCCCUUUUCAAUAUGAUUGGUCUGAUCACUAAUUUAGUGCAUUGCUCAGCUGGAAUUUCUUCCCGAUUCCUGCUCUCGUAUUCCCUUGAUUCUAUCAGUAUUUCUAUGGUUAUUGGUGAAAUUUGAAUUGGGCUAAUUUGGCAUGUAUGUAUCUGGCUCCAAAUAGUAAAUAUUUUUCGGUGCCAUGAUACUGUGUAACAGCUGAGAUGAUAUUAUUUGUAGUUGAUGAUGUUAUUUUGAUGA